rnacentral:rRNA from 1 species
AUUGAACGCUGGCGGCAGGCCUAACACAUGCAAGUCGAGCGAGCGGCGGACGGGUGAGUAAUGUCUGGGAAACUGCCUGAUGGAGGGGGAUAACUACUGGAAACGGUAGCUAAUACCGCAUACCAUCAGAUGUGCCCAGAUGGGAUUAGCUAGUAGGUGGGGUAACGUCUAACCUGGGCGAAGUUCCCUAGCUGGUCUGAGAGGAUGACCCGCAACUGUGGAACUGAGACACGGUCAAGACUCCUCCGGGAGGCAGAAGUGGGGAAUAUUGGACAAUGGGCGAAAGCCUGAUUCAGCCAUGCCGCGUGUGGGAAGAAGGUCUUCGGAUUGUAAAGCACUUUAAGUUGGGAGGCGUUACCAACAGAAUAAGCACCGGCUAACUUCGUGCCAGCAGCCGCGGUAAUAC